rnacentral:tRNA from 2 species
ACUCUUAGAGGAUAACAGCUAUCCGUUGGUCUUAGGAACCAAAGAAUUGGUGCAAUUCCAAAUAAGAGUA